rnacentral:rRNA from 1 species
AUACGGAGGGUGCGAGGUUCCCCCCCGUUGGAAUUACUGGGCGUAAAGGGCGCGUAGGCGGCACUGUAAGUCAGAUGUGAAAGUCCAGGGCUUAACCCUGGAAGUGCAUCUGAUACUGCAGGGCUUGAGUAUCGGAGGGGAAAGUAGAAUUCCCGGUGUAGAGGUGAAAUUCGUAGAUAUCGGGAGGAAUACCGGUGGCGAAGGCGACUUUCUGGACGAAUACUGACGCUGAUGCGCGAAAGCGUGGGGAGC